GAUGAAGAACGUAGCGAAAUGCGAUAAGUAAUGCGAAUUGCAGAAUUCCAGUGAGUCAUCGAAUCUUUGAACGCACAUUGCGCCCUUUGGUAUUCCGAAGGGCAUGCCUGUUCGAGCGUCAUUAUCACCCCUCAAGCCCUCGGCUUGGUGUUAGACGGUUUGGUGGAGGCCCCCUCGGGGGCUCCUGCCCCUCCCAAAGACAAUGACGGCGGCCUCGUUGGACCCCCGGUACACUGAGUUCUUCACGGGACACGUAUCGGACACAUGGGUUUACGGGACACGGUCUGCCUCCCCUCAGGGAGAAUCUUUCUAAGGUUGACCUCGGAUCAGGUAGGGAUACCCGCUGAACUUAAGCAUAUCAAUAAGCGGAGGA
rnacentral:misc_RNA from 1 species